rnacentral:rRNA from 1 species
UGCAGUCGAACGGUAACAGGUCUUCGGAUGCUGACGAGUGGCGAACGGGUGAGUAAUACAUCGGAACGUGCCUAGUAGUGGGGGAUAACUACUCGAAAGAGUAGCUAAUACCGCAUGAGAUCUACGGAUGAAAGCAGGGGACCUUCGGGCCUUGUGCUACUAGAGCGGCUGAUGGCAGAUUAGGUAGUUGGUGGGGUAAAGGCUUACCAAGCCUGCGAUCUGUAGCUGGUCUGAGAGGACGACCAGCCACACUGGGACUGAGACACGGCCCAGACUCCUACGGGAGGCAGCAGUGGGGAAUUUUGGACAAUGGGCGAAAGCCUGAUCCAGCAAUGCCGCGUGCAGGAUGAAGGCCCUCGGGUUGUAAACUGCUUUUGUACGGAACGAAAAGCCUGGGGCUAAUAUCCCCGGGUCAUGACGGUACCGUAAGAAUAAGCACCGGCUAACUACGUGCCAGCAGCCGCGGUAAUACGUAGGGUGCAAGCGUUAAUCGGAAUUACUGGGCGUAAAGCGUGCGCAGGCGGUUUUGUAAGACAGUGGUGAAAUCCCCGGGCUCAACCUGGGAACUGCCAUUGUGACUGCAAGGCUAGAGUGCGGCAGAGGGGGAUGGAAUUCCGCGUGUAGCAGUGAAAUGCGUAGAUAUGCGGAGGAACACCGAUGGCGAAGGCAAUCCCCUGGGCCUGCACUGACGCUCAUGCACGAAAGCGUGGGGAGCAAACAGGAUUAGAUACCCUGGUAGUCCACGCCCUAAACGAUGUCAACUGGUUGUUGGGUCUUAACUGACUCAGUAACGAAGCUAACGCGUGAAGUUGACCGCCUGGGGAGUACGGCCGCAAGGUUG